GAAUUGUGCGAACGUUAUUCGGAAUCACUGGGCUUAAAGGGUGCGUAGGCGGGUUUAAAGGUCUGAUGUGAAAUCCCACGGCUCAACCGUGGAAUGGCGUUGGAAACCAUAAGUCUUGAGGAGAUCAGAGGUAAGCGGAACUGAUGGUGGAGCGGUGAAAUGCGUUGAUAUCAUCAGGAACACCGGUGGCGAAAGCGGCUUGCUGGGAUCUUUCUGACGCUGAGGCACGAAAGCCAGGGGAGCGAACGGGAUUAGAUACCCCGGUAGUCCUGGCUGUAAACGAUCAGUACUAGUCCGUGGGGACUCUCACAUCCUCUCGGACGUAGCGAAAGUGUUAAGUACUGCGCCUGGGGAGUAUGGUCGCAAGGCUG
rnacentral:rRNA from 1 species